UAGGGAAUAUUAGUAAUGGGCGAAAGCCUGAACUAGCAACACCGCGUGUGCGAAGAAGGCCUUCGGGUUGUAAAGCACUUUUUGAGAGGAUGAGGAAGGACGGUACUCUCAGAAUAAGUCUCGGCUAACUACGUGCCAGCAGCCGCGGUAACACGUAGGAGGCAAACGUUAUCCGGAUUUACUGGGCGUAAAGCGCGUGUAGGUGGGUUGGUAAGUAGAGCGUGAAAGCUCCUGGCUCAACUGGGAGAGGUCGUUCUAAACUGACGGGCUUGAGGGCUGGAGAGGUGAGCGGAAUUCCCUGUGUAGUGGUAAAAUACGUAGAGAUCGGGAGGAACACCAGCGGCGCAGGCGGCUCACUAGACAGUUUCUGACGCUAAGAUACGAAAGCGUGGGGAGCAAACA
rnacentral:rRNA from 1 species